AAAGUCGUAACAAGGUUUCCGUAGGUGAACCUGCGGAAGGAUCAUUAACAAGAUGAUACAUCUUUGUAUGUGAACUUUUGGGAGACUCGUUCUCUCAUGCACUUGGUGCGAGGGGUGCCCUGGAGCUUCGGCUUUGGGGUAACUGACGCACCGCUUGUAUUAACAACCAUGUCUAUUCUGUACUGACUGAAAUGUAAAAGAGUUUAAUGAGAAACAACUUUUAGCAAUGGAUCUCUUGGCUCUC
rnacentral:misc_RNA from 1 species